CUUUCAACAACGGAUCUCUUGGUUCUGGCAUCGAUGAAGAACGCAGCGAAAUGCGAUAAGUAAUGCGAAUUGCAGAAUCCGUGAGUCAUCGAAUCUUUGAACGCACAUUGCGCCCUUUGGUAUUCCGAAGGGCAUGCCUGUUCGAGCGUCAUUACCACCCCUCAAGCUUCGGCUUGGUGUUGGG
rnacentral:rRNA from 1 species